AACUAUAUUAAAAGAUUUUUUAUUUUUAUAUUAAAAUAUAUUAAAAUAUUUAAAAUAUCUUUGUACGGGCCUAAAUUUGCCCGGCCCUUCAGAGAAACCAGCAACAAAACCCAAUUACAAGAACAGCCCAAUUCCUACCCAUUUUACAAACAAACCCUAACCCAAACCCGGAUAGCCCAAUAGGCCCAACCUAAACCCAAAUCUCAGCCAAAGUCUAACCCUAGCUCACCCUUGCGUCGUACCCCCCUCCCAUGUGUGCCCUCGGCACGCACGACGCCCGAUGGUUGCUUCCUUGCACCAAAAUGGCAGGUUUUCUCGCCCGUUGACGCUCCAUGAACCUGCAAACAUGACAAAGAGAGGAGAACAGCAAAAAGCAGUGCGCAAACAAUAGAUUUUGUAUUCGGCUAUAUAGCCACAAACGCAAAAAAGAUUGUAACGCAUAUUUUUAUCAAUCAAAAAGUGAACAUGACUUUGAACACAAAAAACAGAGGAUUAAGAAAUCAAAGAGCAAAAAAGGUUGAUCUAUUUUCUUUUCCUUUCGGUUUUGUUUGUUUUAUUUUUCAUAAAACAAAUCUAUUUUAAAUAACGAGCAAUAAAAGAAUAAAAGGGACUCACUCAGAGCCUCCUGCGGUCGUGACGUCGGUGGAUCUCUUCCCAUCGUCGAAGUCGGGCUUAAAAGGAAGCCGAGAGCCUCCUCCAUUCGGUGUCUCCGUGUCUCGGUGGUGUGGCCUUCAAGGAGCAUCCAAGAUAGGGCUGAAAAAUGCCCUUUUGAGCGACGACGGCCACCGAUCGCGGUGGUGGUGCGAUGACGGCAAGGAUGGGUUUCUGGGGAAACCCUAGUAGAGCACAAACAAACAAGGGGGAGGUGUUCUGAAAAAUUUUGAAAGAAAAUGAAGCAAAAAUAAAAAAAACUGGUUUAAAUGAUCAUGCGAAACGGUGCCGUUUCGCACCUGGAGUAUCAACGCCCAAACGGCGUCGUUUAGACCACGCCCG
rnacentral:lncRNA from 1 species